rnacentral:misc_RNA from 1 species
UCUUGGUGGCCAUUUCAUAG